CUGGUCUUGACAUCCACGNAAGUUUUCAGAGAUGAGAAUGUGCCUUCGGGAACCGUGAGACAGGUGCUGCAUGGCUGUCGUCAGCUCGUGUUGUGAAAUGUUGGGUUAAGUCCCGCAACGAGCGCAACCCUUAUCCUUUGUUGCCAGCGGUCCGGCCGGGAACUCAAAGGAGACUGCCAGUGAUAAACUGGAGGAAGGUGGGGAUGACGUCAAGUCAUCAUGGCCCUUACGACCAGGGCUACACACGUGCUACAAUGGCGCAUACAAAGAGAAGCGACCUCGCGAGAGCAAGCGGACCUCAUAAAGUGCGUCGUAGUCCGGAUUGGAGUCUGCAACUCGACUCCAUGAAGUCGGAAUCGCUAGUAAUCGUGGAUCAGAAUGCCNCGGUGAAUACGUUCCCGGGCCUUGUACACNCCGCCCGUCACACCAUGGGAGUGGGUUGCAAAAGAAGUAGGUAGCUUAACCUUCGGGAGGGCGCUUACCACUUUGUGAUUCAUGACNGGGGUG
rnacentral:rRNA from 1 species